rnacentral:rRNA from 1 species
GCUUACGGCCAUACCUCUCUGGGCUCCGCCAGAUCUCGUCUGAUCCUCAGAAAGCUAAAGCAGGAGUAGGGCCUGCGGUUAGUACUGGAUUGAAGCCCGCCCUGAGAUUCCCAGGUGCGGGUAAGCU